GUUGUUGGCAGGGUGUGGUGGAUGACUCCCGGCUUGACCAGAUACUUGUGCUGCUCUCAGCCAGGGGUAGCGUUGACCCCAAAGCCGUCCUCAGGCUGCCGGUUGACGUGAUGUGGUCGUUGGGGUCCGUGACAGCUUGGAUGAAACAUGGCGGUGUAGAUGGCCUGGAUUUCCUGCCUUUCCGUCGGAAUUGGCUUGAUAUGACAGAAAAUAUGUUUAUACAUCUUACUUGGACUAUUUUUUUUUUUACAAGCUGGCUAAGGAAGUUCACAGCUAAGCAAACUUUGAUUUGUGACCCACAGUAAUCCUGUUAGUGGGUAAAAAAAAACUAUUUUUUUUUCCUUUUCCUUAAAUAUGCUCCCCAAAGCUCUAGGAGUAGAAUUGGAAGCCAAGAAGCUUUAGGUGUACACCAUCACCAUGGCAACGCUUUUAUGUUUUCACUUUGACAUCUCCAUUGGUCCUGUUUUGUGCCGGUUGGUAUGUGGGGAAUAGUAAAGAGUAUGAAAGUAUAAGAGAGCCACAACAGAGGAUCUAUGAGGCUGCAGAGUCGCAGGUUGGAGACCUCUGAAUUGAUCUACUAUCCAUCCAUUCUCCAAUAGCGGCUGGGUGGUCUGCUUAAUUCCUUUUGGGGUUUCAAAGGUUACUGGAGCCUAUCCCAGCUACUAUUGGGCAAAUAUGAGACUGUGAAGAAACCAGAGUCCCUGGAGUGUCAGGUGUCAGCCCCCCCCCCCACCUAGCAAUAGAUUGGAUCCUGCACACCUGCUCAUGAUCUCCUCAUCAGACCACCUGUUAUAAGGACCUGCCAGCCAACGCUGGUUUGUCUGGUCCACUUCGGAUCACCAGGAUUUCCCCUCAUCAACCUACAACCGUCCAGAGAACUGCCAUCCAGGACCUCUGCUCAUCCCUUACUACUUCACUAUAAAUCACCUACCCUCUAACUCAC